rnacentral:rRNA from 1 species
AUGAACGCUAGCGGCAGGCUUAAUACAUGCAAGUCGAGGGGCAGCACGGGUAGCAAUACUGGGUGGCGACCGGCGCACGGGUGCGUAACACGUAUGUAAUCUGCCCUUAACUGGAGGAUAGCCCGGAGAAAUCCGGAUUAAUACUCCAUAGUAAUGUGAAGAGGCAUCUCUUUAUAUUUAAAGCUCCGGCGGUUAAGGAUGAACAUGCGACUGAUUAGCUAGUUGGUGAGGUAACGGCUCACCAAGGCGACGAUCAGUAGGGGUACUGAGAGGUUAAACCCCCACACUGGUACUGAGACACGGACCAGACUCCUACGGGAGGCAGCAGUAAGGAAUAUUGGACAAUGGAGGCAACUCUGAUCCAGCCAUGCCGCGUGCAGGAAGAAGGCGCUAUGCGUUGUAAACUGCUUUUGUACCGGAGAAAAUCACUGUACGUGUACGGUGUUGAUAGUAUGGUAAGAAUAAGCAUCGGCUAACUUCGUGCCAGCAGCCGCGGUAAUACGAAGGAUGCGAGCGUUAUCCGGAUUUAUUGGGUUUAAAGGGAGCGUAGGCGGUCUUAUAAGUCAGUGGUGAAAUCUCGUUGCUUAACAACGACCUGUGCCAUUGAUACUGUAGGACUUGAGUACAGUUGCCGUUGGCGGAAUGCGUCAUGUAGCGGUGAAAUGCAUAGAUAUGACACAGAACACCGAUUGCGAAGGCAGCUGACGAAACUGUAACUGACGCUGAGGCUCGAAAGCGUGGGGAUCAAACAGGAUUAGAUACCCUGGUAGUCCACGCCCUAAACUAUGAUUACUCGCUGUCGGCGAUAUACAGUCGGUAGCUAAGCGAAAGCGUUAAGUAAUCCACCUGGGGAGUACGCCCGCAAGGGUGAAACUCAAGGGAAUUGACGGGGGCCCGCACAAGCGGAGGAGCAUGUGGUUUGAUUCGAUGGUACGCGAGGAACCUUACCCGGGCUUGAAAGUUAGUGACCGACUCUGAAAGGAGUUUUUCAGCAAUGACACGAAACUAGGUGCUGCAUGGCUGUCGUCAGCUCGUGCCGUGAGGUGUUGGGUUAAGUCCCGCAACGAGCGCAACCCCUACUUCCAGUUGCCAACACGUAAUGGUGGGGACUCUGGAGGAACUGCCCGCGCAAGCGGUGAGGAAGGUGGGGACGACGUCAAGUCAUCACGGCCCUUACGUCCGGGGCUACACACGUGCUACAAUGGCCACUACAGAGGGCAGCUACCUGGCAACAGGAUGCAAAUCCAUCAAAGGUGGUCUCAGUUCGGAUUGGGGUCUGCAACUCGACCCCAUGAAGCUGGAUUCGCUAGUAAUCGCGCAUCAGCAAUGGCGCGGUGAAUACGUUCCCGGGCCUUGUACACACCGCCCGUCAAGCCAUGAAAGCUGGGAGUAUUUAAAGUAGGUUGCCGUCAAGGCGCCUCCUAGAGUAAAACCGGUGAUUGGGGCU